UCCGUCUCAAAAAAAAAAAAAAGUUAAAAGAUACAGAUAGGGCUCUGGGGAAAAUCAAAGCAAAAUAAGAUAGAAAAUAUUGAUCCCAUCCUACUUUAUGACUCUGCAUAACUUGAAAGUGACUUUUAAAUAGUUAAAUGGGCCAGGCGCAGCAGCUCAUGCCUGUAAUUUCAGCACUUUGGGAAGCUGAGGCGGGCACAUCACUUGAGGUCAGGAGUUCAAGACCAGCCUGGCCAACAUGGCGAAACCCCAGCUCUACUAUAAAAAUACAAAAAUCAGCCAGGCAUCAUGGCACACGCCUGUAAUCCCAGCACUUUCGGAUGCUGAAGCGAGCAGAUCACUUAAGGUCAGGAGUUCGAGACCAGCCUGGCCAACACGGCAAAACCCUG
rnacentral:lncRNA from 10 species